rnacentral:lncRNA from 1 species
CUUAAUAUCAUUCUAGCUCUUACUAUAGAUAGAUAGUAAAAGAUAGAUAUAGAUAUAAAAGAGAUAGUAAAAGAUGCAUAUUUAAAUUUCAUUCAUAAAACUAACCUGAUAUUAAAUUUUGAUAUUGAUAUUAAUUAUUAAUAACAACAUUCUGUCAAUGUAAUUCAAAUAGCCAUGUAAAUCAUGUAACAGUGAUAGAUAAUGUUAACCAAAUAGCAAUACAUUAAGAGAAAUAGUCCAUACAGUAUUCCAAUACAGAGGUAAAUACUACAAACAAUACCAAGAAGUCCCAAUAGUCAGCCCCAUGGCUGGAUGCCUAGCAAAGUUAACAAUUAGACAGAGAAUCAGAUAACAUCAAUAUAUAAGGACUACUGGACUUUUUACAAAAGAUAUUUAGACGCCAUUCUAAUUAUAUAAAAUAACAAGAUAAGAGCGAAGAGGUAAUACAAAAGUUUAUCAAUGAUGCAUAUGGCCGAAAAUUAGAAUUAGAUCAAUGCAGUCCUUCUAACAUACACUUUUUAGACAUACAAAUGGAGAACAAAGAUCAAAAAUACUUAACAGCAGUGUAUGAAAAAACCAACAAGUAAAAGAAUUCUUAUUCUGAGAUGUCACCCAAUCCAUUAAGAUACAAAAAGCUGUUUUCUGUUUCUCCUUUAAACAAGCUAAAUUACAUUGCAGCUACCAGGAAGCAAUUAGUAGAGAGAUUAAAAUUUAUUUAUAAAAUAGCUAAAGUAUACGGUUUUUGGAAAUUUUUUGUUUUGCUUAAAUGGCGAAUGCUUGGACAUUUGACUGUAUAUUGUGGUGGUGUGGUGGCAACAUAGG